rnacentral:rRNA from 1 species
ACGCUGGCGGCAUGCUUUACACAUGCAAGUCGAACGGUAACAGGCCGCAAGGUGCUGACGAGUGGCGAACGGGUGAGUAAUGCAUCGGAACGUGCCCGGUCGUGGGGGAUAACACUUCGAAAGAAGUGCUAAUACCGCAUACGAUCUGAGGAUGAAAGCGGGGGACCGUAAGGCCUCGCGCGAUCGGAGCGGCCGAUGUCAGAUUAGGUAGUUGGUGGGGUAAAGGCUCACCAAGCCAACGAUCUGUAGCUGGUCUGAGAGGACGACCAGCCACACUGGGACUGAGACACGGCCCAGACUCCUACGGGAGGCAGCAGUGGGGAAUUUUGGACAAUGGGCGCAAGCCUGAUCCAGCAAUGCCGCGUGCAGGAAGAAGGCCUUCGGGUUGUAAACUGCUUUUGUACGGAACGAAACGGUCCGGGUUAAUACCCUGGGCUAAUGACGGUACCGUAAGAAUAAGCACCGGCUAACUACGUGCCAGCAGCCGCGGUAAUACGUAGGGUGCAAGCGUUAAUCGGAAUUACUGGGCGUAAAGCGUGCGCAGGCGGUUUUGUAAGACAGGCGUGAAAUCCCCGGGCUCAACCUGGGAAUUGCGCUUGUGACUGCAAGGCUGGAGUGCGGCAGAGGGGGAUGGAAUUCCGCGUGUAGCAGUGAAAUGCGUAGAUAUGCGGAGGAACACCGAUGGCGAAGG